rnacentral:rRNA from 1 species
AUUGAACGCUGGCGGCAUGCCUUACACAUGCAAGUCGAACGGUAACAGGUCUUCGGAUGCUGACGAGUGGCGAACGGGUGAGUAAUACAUCGGAACGUGCCCGAUCGUGGGGGAUAACGGAGCGAAAGCUUUGCUAAUACCGCAUACGAUCUACGGAUGAAAGCAGGGGACCGCAAGGCCUUGCGCGGACGGAGCGGCCGAUGGCAGAUUAGGUAGUUGGUGGGAUAAAAGCUUACCAAGCCGACGAUCUGUAGCUGGUCUGAGAGGACGACCAGCCACACUGGGACUGAGACACGGCCCAGACUCCUACGGGAGGCAGCAGUGGGGAAUUUUGGACAAUGGGCGCAAGCCUGAUCCAGCCAUGCCGCGUGCAGGAUGAAGGCCUUCGGGUUGUAAACUGCUUUUGUACGGAACGAAAAGACUCUGGUUAAUACCUGGGGUCCAUGACGGUACCGUAAGAAUAAGCACCGGCUAACUACGUGCCAGCCGCCGCGGUAACAC